rnacentral:rRNA from 1 species
UACAGAGGCCUCGAGCGUUAGGCGGAAUCACUGGGCUUAAAGCGUGUGUAGGCGGACUUCUAAGUACCUUGUGAAAUCCCACGGCUCACCCGUGGAACUGCUUGGUAUACUGGUUGUCUUGAGCCUUCUAGGGGCGAGUGGAACAAAUGGUGGAGCGGUGAAAUGCGUAGAUAUCAUUUGGAACGCCAAUGGUGAAAACAACUCGCUGGGGAAGUGCUGACGCUGAGACGCGAAAGCCAGGGGAGCGAACGGG